UUAAACAAUUUUAGUCAUUACGUUUAUCCACAAUGAACACUUUGGUUUCUAUUUUGUUUAAACACAUAACCGUUAUAUUUUACAUAAUUUGCAUAGGAAGCACAUAAGUGGCGCAAAUUAGCACGUGAAAAGCAUGUGUGAAACAAGGCAGCUCAAUUCCGACGAGAUCUGGAUUAGUUGCCGGCAUGUGGGAACCAUCAGACAUGUCUUCAAGCCUCUUAAGUCGUCACCCAGCAACUCCGGGCAGAUCUUUAACCAGAUCCAGGUACUUAUGAUUGAAUUGGUUGAAGAUUUAUAUCUGCACUGCUGGAGACUUCAAGGUAUACUUGUUCGACGUCCGCAGGGCCCGAAGUCACCUUGUGUUGUAUUUUAUUUCCAUUGUCUCCUAUUAUUCCGGAAAAAUGACUUACUCUUUAUUUAUAGUUACUCUUAGAAAGGCUUGUGACUUGUACUAUCGGUUUUGGGAUUAUGUAACUGAAGUUGGUUUGACUAUGUUG